CCUACGGGAGGCAGCAGUGAGGAAUAUUGGUCAAUGGGCUUACGCCUGAACCAGCCAAGUCGCGUGAGGGAAGACUGCCCUAUGGGUUGUAAACCUCUUUUAUAUGGGAAUAAAAUGUUCCACGGGUGGGAUUUUGUAUGUACCAUAUGAAUAAGGAUCGGCUAACUCCGUGCCAGCAGCCGCGGUAAUACGGAGGAUGCGAGCGUUAUCCGGAUUUAUUGGGUUUAAAGGGUGCGUAGGCGGGCUUUUAAGUCAGCGGUAAAAAUUCGGGGCUCAACCCCGUCCGGCCGUUGAAACUGGGGGCCUUGAGUGGGCGAGAAGAAGGCGGAAUGCGUGGUGUAGCGGUGAAAUGCAUAGAUAUCACGCAGAACCCCGAUUGCGAAGGCAGCCUUCCGGCGCCCUACUGACGCUGAGGCACGAAAGUGCGGGGAUCGAACAGGAUUAGAUACCCCUGUAGUC
rnacentral:rRNA from 1 species